rnacentral:tRNA from 1 species
AGUCCCGUGGUGGAGAAACACGUUGGAUUGCAAAUCCAGAGACGCAGAGUAAUACGCUGCCGGGGCUU